UCCCUGGUGGUCUAGUGGUUAGGAUUCAGCGCUGUCACUGCCGUGGCCCAGGUUCGAUCCCUGGUCAGGGAA
rnacentral:tRNA from 1 species